rnacentral:rRNA from 1 species
GAAUAGGUAACGUACCCCGUGCUUCAGGAUAGCGUCAGUCGCUUCGGCAACUCUCCGAAAGGGGCGGUAAUACUGAAUAAUAUCACCUGUCGAUAGGCAGAUGAUCAAAGAUUUAUCGGCAUAGGAGCGGCCUAUUUCCUAUCAGCUUGUUGGUGAGGUAAUGGCUCACCAAGGCUAAGACGGGUAGCGGGACUGAGAGGUUGACCCGCAACAUCGGGACUGAGACACUGCCCGGACCUCCACGGAGGGCUGCAGUAACGAAUAUUGCGCAAUGGGCGAAAGCCUGACGCAGCGACGCCGCGUGUAGGAGGAAGUCCCUCGGGAUGUAAACUACUGUCAGGGUGAAGAAAGUUGGCUUCGGCCAAUUGAUCUACCCCAAAGGAAGUCACGGCUAACUUCGUGCCAGCAGCCGCGGUAAGACGAAGGUGGCUAGCGUUGUUCGGUAUUACUGGGCUUAAAGCGUAUGCAGGCGGAGCAGUAAGCGUCGUGUGAAAUCCCUCGGCUUAACCGAGGAAUUGCUUGGCGAACUGCUGUUCUUGAGGCAAGUAGGGGUGCAUAGAACUCUUGGUGGAGCGGUGGAAUGCGUAGAUAUCAAGAGGAAUGCCAAUGGAGAAAUCAGUGCACUGGGCUUGUCCUGACGCUCAGAUACGAAAGCGUGGGGAGCGAACGGGAUUAGAUACCCCGGUAGUCCACGCCGUAAACGAUGUCUACUAGGUUGUGGUGGUUCUGACGCCGGCACGGCCGAAGCAAAAGUGUUAAGUAGACCGCCUGGGGAGUACGGUCGCAAGGCUAAAACUCAAAGGAAUUGACGGGGGCUCACACAAGCGGUGGAGCAUGUGGAUUAAUUCGAAGCAACGCGCAGAACCUUACCUGGGUUUGACAUGCUUGGAUGCCUAUCUGGAAACAGAGUCGGUUACCCUUCGGGGUGAAACUUGCACAGGUGCUGCAUGGCUGUCGUCAGCUCGUGUCGUGAGAUGUCGGGUUA